rnacentral:rRNA from 1 species
CGGACGGGUGAGUAACGCGUGGAAAACCUGCCGUAUACUGGGGGAUAACACUUAGAAAUAGGUGCUAAUACCGCAUAAGCGCGCAGCUUCGCAUGAAGCGGUGUGGAAAACUCUGGUGGUAUACGAUGGUUCCGCGUCUGAUUAGCUAGUUGGUGGGGUAAUGGCCUACCAAGGCAACGAUCAUUAGCCGGCCUGAGAGGGUGAACGGCCACAUUGGGACUGAGACACGGCCCAAACUCCUACGGGAGGCAGCAG